rnacentral:antisense_RNA from 1 species
GGGAAACCGACAGUCUCUUCCCGGUAGGGAGAGGGGAUGGCGGAAUUACUCCUCUAAUGUCAAGGUUUUCUAAUCACAGAAUUACUGGAGCGUCAAGAAGCGCCUGCAUGCUUGGAAGGGCUUCCAGGCAGAUGAACACACCUCAGCACCGGGUGGCAGUUUCCCAGGGUGCAACCCGGACCGGCUCUGGGUCACACUGACAAGGCCCUGGCAGAGUGUCUUGCACACAGUGGCAUUCCUAUAAAUGUGGUUGACUGGCCUGUCAUUAUUUGGAGUUUGACACAGCUGUGUCAUAGAAGAAACAGAAAGAAAAGUGGUCUCUGCUGCUCUGGAUUCAUGCCUCUCCGACUCCCCAGGCUGGGUUGGGUGCUCCUCCCUCUCAUCCCACAGCGCUAUGUCUCAUGUCUUCUGGAAAACUUGCCAAUCCCUAGUGAUAACAAGGAUUAACAAUUUCCAGAGACAGCCCGUACAUAGAGGGAAAGUUUACUGAAAAAAAUGAAGAGGGGUCAGGGCAAGGCGAGGAGCAAGAAGCAUCCCCAAGGAAACAGAGAAGACCAGUACAACUGUACCUCUUUGCCAGCUGCACCAUCCGUACCAGGUGGCACGUUCUAGAGGCCAUAGCCUCUGUUCUGGUCAUCUCCAGUCUCCUGGGGUGGGAGUGUACAGCUCAGAGACUGCCACACUGCAAGACGAAGGGGCUGGAUGGACGGAAGUAAGAGGCGGAACCCUGCACACCCUCGGCCUCAGCCCCACUGAGUCUCCAAUGGGGCCACGCUUCUGAGUGCACCUCCCCCUGUCAUCUGUAAUGUGAGGGGGAACCAGGCUUGAUAUGGCAUUCCCAAUCCAGGGCCUCUGGACCCCUUGAGAUGCAUUA